AUUGAACGCUGGCGGCAGGCCUAACACAUGCAAGUCGAGCGAGCGGCGGACGGGUGAGUAAUGUCUGGGAAACUGCCUGAUGGAGGGGGAUAACUACUGGAAACGGUAGCUAAUACCGCAUACCAUCAGAUGUACCCAGAUGGGAUUAGCUAGUAGGUGGGGUAAUGGCUCACCUAGGCGACGAUCCCUAGCUGGUCUGAGAGGAGGACCAGCAACACUGGAACUGAGAAACGGCCCAGACUCCGACGGGAGGCAGCAGUGGGGAAUAUUGCACAAUGGGCGCAAGCCUGAUGCAGCCAUGCCGCGUGUGUGAAGAAGGCCUUCGGGUUGUAAAGUACUUUCAGCGGGGAGGCGUUACCGGCAGAAGAAGCACCGGCUAACUCCGUGCCAGCAGCCGCGGUAAUAC
rnacentral:rRNA from 1 species